CAUGGUUGUCGUCAGCUCGUGCCGUGAGGUGUCCGGGUUAAGUCCCAUAACGAGCGCAACCCUUACCGUAGUUACCAUCAGGUUAAGCUGGGGACUCUAGCGGGACUGCCACCGUAAGGUGAGAGAAGUGGGGAUGACGUCAAAUCAGCGCGGCCCUUAUGUCCAGGGCUACACACGUGUUACAAUGGCCAGUACAAAGGGCAGCUACCGGGUGACCGGAUGCUAAUCUCUAAAGCUGGUCUCAGUUCGGAUCGAAGUCUGCAACCCGACUUCGUGAAGCUGGAUUCGCUAGUAAUCGCGCAUCAGCCAUGGCGCGGUGAAUACGUUCCCGGGUCUU
rnacentral:rRNA from 1 species